rnacentral:lncRNA from 1 species
UUUUUGUACAGUGUAGUAACUUAAGAGGAAGUUUGUUGUAAUUUAAGUCACCAAAUAGGGCAGUUUGUGAAAUUAUUAGCUUUAUUUUUUAAAGAAGGGAGAGGAAUGAUGAAAGCUUUAAUGAUGCUAGAGAAAAUCUUUUAAAUGAUCAAAAUAUAUGCCCCAAAGGUCCAAGUAAAAAAUAAUUAUUCAUUUUCAGAUUUUCUUAUUUUAAUCCAGUUUCAUGAUUUGUGGACCUUAAUCAUAAACCUAGAGCUCUCGGGGUUGGUAUUCCCAUUGCAACAUUUGUCGCGCAUGGAAAUGGUGAGAUGCAAAGCCUGCUUCAGUAUCAAGCCACGACCUAAAAAUUAUUUUAUGCAACUCAACUAAAUCAUCAGGGAGCAGCGGAAAUGUUAUUUCACAUGCUCUUAAGUGGAAAGGGCCUUUAAGUAGGAUAGCAAGUUGGAACACAGCUGCCCGUUGAAGAUUUGCAAAGGCAAAAACUGAGCAAAGGAAUGGAAAUGCUUAAUGCUAAGGAGAACGCCAUCCUGCCAUCUCUCUAAAGUCAACACCACAUAGGCACUGGUCAAAUACAAGCUCCUGGAGUCAGCACAGGAACUACUGUGAGAAAUGCAAAAGUCUGAAACCUCUAGAUUCGCCAGAUGAUCUAAUUGCUGCGAGAAGGAGCAGUAUCGGAACAAUAUAGAAUAAUACUAAUGUAUACGGAAGAUUCUUGGAGUCUCACCUCAUCUACCAGAAGAGUUUCCAAGGUGGAAAAUAAAUGCUAGUACAGCUAGCAGUACAGAGCUGCAAGAACCCUUUCUGUUUUUCUGAAAACGAGUCUAAGAAAGCUCUGCGGAGUCUCCAGCACAGUGCCUACUCUUCGUUUGAGGAAAACCAGAAAAUUGAGUAGAACUUGCAGAAAUAAUCUAAUUUACAUCACUCAAGACUUUUUACCUAGUACCGGUGGCAAACAUCAUUCUAUUUUGGAUGGUAAGAACAGUAAUAGCUGAGCACGAAUAACAGGCAUGGAUUCAUCUGCUAUUUCAAGAGAGGUUUCUUUCCCUCCUUGUCUCCUGCUUCACUAGUUUAACAACAACAACAUCUCAUUUCAUACCUUAAGACAGCUCAGUAUUGCUAAGCUUGUUCCCUGCCAAAAUGGAAGGAACGUCAGGUAACAAAACCUAAAGGAUGACUAAUUUGUCUUCUAGCUGCACAAUAAUAAACACCAGAACUGAAGACUGUAAACCAUGCCAGUAUUUUGGGCCAAGGCUGGAGUGCUCAAGCAUCUAGCAAGCAGAACAAGAGGAAUGUCACUGUGUGACCAAGGAGAGCUCAACCUCUGCUCUCAAAUUUGGCCACUGUUAAUGGCCUGUAAAACUUCUAAGCUGCCUCAAUGAGAACAAGCAACGCCAAGAAGAACAGGCCCAGCAGGGAGGGCUAUUCAGGCCAUAGCAGUUCUUGCCCUUAUUGGAACAGAACGGGUGCGGCUACAUGCAACCCACAGCGAACAGAACAUGUGAUGCAGAUAUGCCAUCUACAUAGCUGCCUGGAGAUCAUACAAAGCUGCAGAAGGAUACCCACUGUCCAUAAAAAGUUGCAUACCUUAAGUUAGAUGAUAGAAGCUACAACACUAAGCAUUGUUACAAAAUAUAGAGAGAGAGACUAAGAACAAUAAAAACAGGUUUGCAAUUGUGAUAUUUUUAUUGUUGUUUUAUGAGAGGUAGCAGAAAGGACGACCUGCACUUUUCAAAUCAUUGUAGCAAAGUACACAAUAUUAAUUUUCAAGGAAACCAACAUUCAUAUCAACGCUAAAGGAAAUUUUAGUAUCUGUGCAACAUGCAUGCACGUCAGACUCAGAAAGGAAGGCUUGGAUAAGGAAGACAUUUGGGCAUUUAGCUCAAUCUUCAAACAUAAACUUGGUGAUUCUUCCUCUGCUGCUCCCGUCUGUCAGCAUUAAUCCACAGCCACAUCAGAGGGAGACAAGAGGCCAAAGCAAUGCCUAGUUGAGAGAUGUCUGGCUGAAACACAGAGCAGUCUGUGAGUCUAAUCCAGGCUUUAUAUUCAAAAGGAGAAGAAAGCAGAUACAGUAACUAAGAUUAUGGUUUUCCAGUUAUUUCUUCUGAAUAACUGCUCUCAGAACGGAGCUGCUCAGAGUUGCAUUUAGUAUGGACUUCAUAAAUAACUCUUCAUUAGUACCACUUAGUAGUAAAGUGGUGGUAGCCACCAUUAUUUGAAGCUCUAUGAAAUACGCAGAUUGAUCUUUCCAGUUUUAAGAUCAAAUUACUUCCCAUCGUUCCAAUUUCAUCCUUAUUUCAAAUCACUUGGUUAAUAGCAGGCAAGGGGUUUCAGCUUCAUAAAUACAAUAAGGGAGCUAAAGAAUCUCUCUCUGAUGAGUACUUCAUGACAAUGCUUCCUUGACUUUUCAUUUUCAGCAGUUAUCACGAGUAGUUCUGCAAAAUCUUUCUAAUGGAGGACAGGCUGGAGUUUGAGGAGCAGAAAGCAAGGACGUGGGUUGGCUUUUUACAGGAAUAUAUUGGAAGGGUUAGGAAGCAUAGGGUUGUGAAAAUUUGGCAGAUGAUACCCUUAUGCAUGCUACAGCCAGCCAUUAUGUGUCACAUGACAGGAAAUUCCUAACGGUAACAUAAAACACCUUCACUAAGGAAAAAAUGAAAUGAUGCUUUAACAAAAUUUCAUGCCCAUGACACAGGCCGAGGUAGGCUGGGUGACCUGCCAGCCUGAAGACACUCCAUAUGUUAUGAUCAUGAGCUCAGGAAAAAAAAAAAAAAGCUUGUGUUUCUUUUUUAGACCAUGACGAUCCAUUUUAUUUAUUGAGCUGAAUCUCAUCACACCUUGCAGCAAAAUUAAGAAUCACAUAGUAAAUACCUGGAGCUUGCUAAAAUUAUUAAAAUAACUAUCUCAGACAGUAUGCCCUGGCCUUGAUCCUUCCAAUCACUGAAAUGCUCAUUUAAUUAAAAGCCAUCUGAAGUUAGAAAGAACAUUAAAAACAAAAACAACAACAACAAAGAAACACCUGUCAGAGAAGCCCCCACAAGAUUUCAGACAAUGAAAUAUCUUAGUGAAUAAUGUAUGAGAAAAUUUGUUGCAUUUAACGUUUAUUUGGUAUAAUAGUAGGUCUGAGCUUACCAUCUCUGAUUAAUUUAACUCCUUAAGUCUGACUGAUCACCGCUGUAUCUCUUGGCGCUGGUUAAGGACAUCUCCACUAAGUAGAGCAUUUGCUGACAUUGUCCCCAGUGAGCAAUGGUCAUUACUGCUCACACACAUUAAGCCAGAGCUGCUCCCUAGCAGAUGUUCUAGUAAAAGAGCCAUCCCAAUUUGUUACAUUUCCCAUUAAAAGAAUAAAUAAUGUAUUUUCUACCAAAAUGAUAUUAAAAUGCUGGGAGAUUCAUAAAAGUCCUCCAGUCUCAUUCAGAGGAAGGGGAGAAAGGCACUUUGCAAUAUAUUGGCAAGACUUUUUGCUACCAACACAUCAGUGUCACAGAUGAAUCAUGAUAUUCCAAAAACAUCAGCCUUCAUAACAACAAAAGUAACCACAAUUUCAAUAAAUUGGAAGGACACAUCAAGGUCUAUAAAGCAAGAGGAUGAAAGGAGUUAUUAGCCUGCUACUUGUUCCCUGUCCCUUCCCUGCUAUUAGCUGUUUGCCUUCCAAGAAGCUCAGUGAAGCAACAUGUCUCUAAUAGCAUCACUGUGAACUCAGCUUUAAAGACAAAACUCUAACACAUUACGUGCAUAAAUCAAACACAUGAGUGGCAAUAUUUGUGGUGGACUGAGCAGCAGACACACACAGCUGAGCACAUCAGUAGACACCAACAACACGUUUACCACAUAGCCCUGCAGCUGAAGCUUCAGCGGCUCAGCACUGCAAGGAGCAAUGCUCCCUGGUGCACUGGGAGCGAGGGGACAUACGAGCAGCCAGCGAGAAGCAGCAAUUCUGGAACCCAGAGCACCCUGCCUGGAUCAGAUGCCGCAGGAAAACAGUGAUUUUGGGGUACGCUCCACUGUAUGAAACAUAGAACGUUUGUUUUCUGAAAAAAGCAUCGCUGCAUUGGGCACUUGGAAGCAAUAAUCAGGUUCUGAAAGUUUACAAGAGACCGUGCAUUUUUAGUCUGAUCUUCCCAUUAGGAUUAAUUGUAAGCAGCGUAAGCAGAGUCAUAAAGAAGCCCCAGAGGAAAAAAAAAUAUCUUCCCUAUAAUUAAUUGUGCCAUUUGACUAAUAAAACAACUUAUACUUCCAUUAACCAAGCUGCAUGCAAAGAGACUUGAUUUUCAGAUCCACUUGACAUAAACAUAGCUUAUCUUAAUUAAUCCUUCUGCAGGCUUUGUUUUCUGGAACGCAUUCACCUCAAAUAAAGCAACUUUUAUCAACACCUAAGCAGUAUUUUUAUCUUUAUAGCCUCAGGUAGAUGCCGGAGCUAAGCUGGGAUCCAGCAAUGUCUUCGCCUUACUUAUGCUGGCAUCACCUCAAGGGUUGGCCCGGCUGUAGCUGUGUCAGCCCUGGGGCAGAGGGCUUCAGUCUGCAGCCAGCGGUCCUAACACUGUGAUCCACAACGAACCCGAGUGCUAACAGCCACCAGGGCAGCCCCAGGCAACCCGUACCUCAGAUGAAUACGGAGUUCAUCGUCCCUUUCCUCUCCCUUCUUAUCUUGAAAAGAGCCAAGCAAUUACUUGCAAGUCUUUUCAGGAUUUGCUGCAGCACCUUCUGAAAAUAUUUCCAAGGUGAUGUCGUGUUUUGUUUGGUCUUUUUUUCCACUUUUGCCCAGGAGCCGCGUCCAGCGGUGGGCAGCAGAGCGGGUCCCCAUGAGGCGGCGCGAGGCGAAGGAGUAACGGCCGAGCAAAAAGGGCGGGAAGCGCCGCGGAGCACCGAGCUGAGCAAAAAGGGCGGGAAGCGGCCGCGCAGCAUCGCGCUCAGCAAAAAGGGCGGGAAGCGGCCGUGCGGCACCGAGCUGAGCAAAAAGGGCGGGAAGCGGCCCUCCUUUUCUCUGUGAUUCAGCAAAGUGCACAUGAGCAGAAAAAUACUUUAAAAGUGCAUUUAAGGGCAGGAGAUAACACUCCAGGAUUUGAAGAGGACAGAAUAUUAUUCCUUUUACCAUCUGUUGGAGUCCAAAUAGUGUGGGAGACUUUCCUCGUGCUCUGUCUGAAGUGCAGACAGAUUAGUCCUUACUAGCCUAAACCCCUGUGAAGAGCGAUUCUGCACAUUCAUCUGCAAGUUACACAGAAGCCUCUAUUCAUACAUCCAGGAACUGACAGUGGCAUUCUGCAUGUGUGGAAUUAACGGUUUCCACGCAGCUACAGACAUUGUUCAACAACAUUAUUAUUAGGGAGG